rnacentral:rRNA from 1 species
AAAUUGAAGAGUUUGAUCAUGGCUCAGAUUGAACGCUGGCGGCAGGCCUAACACAUGCAAGUCGAACGGUAGCACAGAGAGCUUGCUCUCGGGUGACGAGUGGCGGACGGGUGAGUAAUGUCUGGGAAACUGCCCGAUGGAGGGGGAUAACUACUGGAAACGGUAGCUAAUACCGCAUAACGUCGCAAGACCAAAGUGGGGGACCUUCGGGCCUCACACCAUCGGAUGUGCCCAGAUGGGAUUAGCUAGUAGGUGGGGUAACGGCUCACCUAGGCGACGUUCCCUAGCUGGUCUGAGAGGAUGACCAGCCACACUGGAACUGAGACACGGUCCAGACUCCUACGGGAGGCAGCAGUGGGGAAUAUUGCACAAUGGGCGCAAGCCUGAUGCAGCCAUGCCGCGUGUAUGAAGAAGGCCUUCGGGUUGUAAAGUACUUUCAGCGAGGAGGAAGGCGUUGUGGUUAAUAACCACAGCGAUUGACGUUACUCGCAGAAGAAGCACCGGCUAACUCCGUGCCAGCAGCCGCGGUAAUACGGAGGGUGCAAGCGUUAAUCGGAAUUACUGGGCGUAAAGCGCACGCAGGCGGUUUGUUAAGUCAGAUGUGAAAUCCCCGGGCUCAACCUGGGAACUGCAUUUGAAACUGGCAAGCUUGAGUCU